UGCAUGUCUAAGCAUAAAGUCCUUGAAAGAUGAAGCUGCGAACGGCUCAUUACAACAGUUAUAAUCUUUUUGAUGAAGUACGUACAAGGAUAUCUUUGAGAAUGUCAAAGCUAAUACUUGACGGUUUACACCUCCUGUCGAGUCUACUCCUUUUAGGGGUAAAAUCGAUAGGGGCGGGGGAGGCUUCAUGCAUCCUCUACAUAUUACCACCAUUUUUUGAAUAAGGGUGGAUAUAUGCCAAGAGAAUUGUAGAAAUCGAAAGAUUUUCACAAGUCAUCAUUAAGAAUAUCUGACCUAUCAACUGGUCGUUGGUAAGGUAGUGGCUUACCAAGGUAAUAACGGGUAACGAGGAAUAAGGGUUCGACAUCGGAGAGGGAGCUUUAGAAAUGGCUACCACUUCUAAGGAAGGCAGCAGGCGCGAAAAUUACCCAAUCUUAUCAAAUGAAGGAGGUAGUGACGACAAUUAACGCUAUCUCUCGUCUUUUGGCGAGGAUCGUCGGAAUGAUUUCGAUUUAAAAUAUCGAAAGAAAGCAAUUGGAGGGCAAGUCUGGUGCCAGCAGCCGCGGUAAUUCCAGCUCC
rnacentral:rRNA from 1 species